AUUGAACGCUGGCGGCAGGCCUAACACAUGCAAGUCGAACGAGUGGCGGACGGGUGAGUAAUGUCUGGGAAACCGCCUGAUGGAGGGGGAAAACUACUGGAAACGGUAGCUAAUCCCGCAUACCAUCGGGUGUGCCCAGAUGGGAUUCGCUUGUAGGUGGGGUAAAGGCUCACCUAGGCGACGAUCCCUAGCUGGUCUGAGAGGAUGACCAGCCACACUGGAACUGAGACACGGCCCAGACUCCUACGGGAGGCAGCAGUGGGGAAUAUUGCACAAUGGGCGCAAGCCUGAUGCAGCCAUGCCGCGUGUAUGAAGAAGGCCUUCGGGUUGUAAAGUACUUUCAGCGGGGAGGCGUUACCCGCAGAAGAAGCACCGGCUAACUCCGUGCCAGCAGCCGCGGUAAUUC
rnacentral:rRNA from 1 species